CCUACGGUGGCAGCAGUGGGGAAUAUUGGACAAUGGGCGAAAGCCUGAUCCAGCCAUGCCGCGUGUGUGAAGAAGGCCUUCGGGUUGUAAAGCACUUUCAGUGGGGAAGAAAGCCUUGGGGCUAAUACCCUCGAGGAAGGACAUCACCCACAGAAGAAGCACCGGCUAACUCCGUGCCAGCAGCCGCGGUAAUACGGAGGGUGCGAGCGUUAAGCGGAAUUACUGGGCGUAAAGCGCGCGUAGGCGGUCUGAUAAGCCGGUUGUGAAAGCCCCGGGCUCAACCUGGGAACGGCAUCCGGAACUGUCAGGCUAGAGUGCAGGAGAGGAAGGUAGAAUUCCCGGUGUAGCAGUGAAAUGCGUAGAGAUAGGGAGGAAUACCAGUGGCGAAGGCGGCCUUCUGGACUGACACUGACGCUGAGGUGCGAAAGCGUGGGUAGCAAACAGGAUUAGAUACCCCAGUAGUC
rnacentral:rRNA from 1 species